AGCAAUGCCAAACUUAGUUGAGAAUAAACUUCGGUAUCAAGUAUCAUCAAGGAAGGGAACUAUAGCUGAACCUGCUCUCCUUGUAACCUGCUAUGUACAAGCAUCCACUUUACAUCAGCGGUUCAAUGUGUAGAAGGAACUGACCACUAUCAGCUAAUGAGCCAUGGUAUCCUGGAAAAAAAUACUGUUUGGAGUAUCUUCAGCAAAAACUCCUGAAAGUACAGCUGGAAAACUUCCAAACUUGAGAUGCUGCCAAACCUGCUGAGCUCCUGCUAGAAUUUUCUGUUUUUGUCUUUAUCUGACAAAACUAUAAAAUCCGUGAAUGGUUCAUCUAUAAUUUCUAUGUAUAGCUGUGUUUAAUGUUGCUGUAAAAUAAGUAGUGUUACUUUAAAGUCUAAGCCUGAAGACAGUUCUUGAAUUUGUCUGCUUCUUCAUCAGUCUGUCCUGAAACCAACUCAUAGUGUGCAACAUUGAACCACACGAGAAACAGAUGGUGGCAGCAAUGGCUAGAAAAUCAUGCCAGUAGAAAAGAUCAAGAAACAAACCUGAGAUCGUCUGGAGAACAGAAGAAUUUUUUUAAAAAUUUGGAAAAAAAUCAUUGAGACAGCUCUCAGACCAGCUCGCAGCCAGAAAUGCCACAGCACUGCACAGCUGCAGUGAAAGAAACAUCACUGAAUGAUAUAAGUCUUCAAAAACCUUUCGUAGACAGUAACAGGGGAAGUGAGCCUUUAAAAAUAAGUGAAAGCUAUAAAAUACCAGUAACCACUCAGAGGAUAAAUCAGAAUUGAGCACCUGCAAAAAGGAGCUUAUAUUUGAACACCCUUAAGGAAAGGGACAGCAGAGUUUCAUUUUCAACUGAAAAACUAGGCUGAGAAGCAUAGAUAAAACUUCUAACAGCGAGUUAACAAAUUCCUGAACCAUUUACUCACUGAGAAAGUUAACAGCAGCAAGUUAAGAUAACUCUUCAGGUACAGACUAAAAGCAAAAAGAUUGUAAAAGAGAAAAAAAAUGAGGAGUAAAAAUUGGUAUUGCAAUUCAAAUUCUCAACAGUACCAAAGUAAUGAAAGAAGUCUUUUUUUAUAAAUUUAAAUGGUUUGAAAGACAAAUUCAAAGUUUUGCUCAGCAGUUAAGAAAUUUUAUCAAUUUUAUUAAUUCAAGUACUCUGUCUUAAUUAAAUUCUAUUAAUUAAACUCUAUUAAUUAAAGUACAUUGUGAAUCUGAACAAGUGGUGUCAAAUUUAGUGCAAUUCAGGUUCAGAAAAAAAUCGCAGUAUGAAUAAUGUCACUACAGCAAAAAUUGAUAAAGUUCAAAAAUUAUUUGACUGUGGCAGCCAUCUUUGAUAGGUGUAAAAAGAUCAUUGAAGCUUAUUUAGUGAACCCAUUUUGGGAAUGUUUCUAUCCAUUGAACUUUGAGAAAUCUUUCAGUUGUUAUGAAAAAAUAUCUUCAUUUAUUCAACUCUAUAAUUGUGCCUUAUUGGUAAAGGGAAGCCAAACUUUACAUUGAAGACCACAUUUCAAAAAGCAACUUGGAGUUUUAGUAGUACACCAACUACUUUUACAACAACAAAGAUUCAGCAACAAAUUUAAUGAACCAAGAAUACCAUAAGGCAAACAAAAUGAGUGUAGUAGAAGAGAACAAAGUCUGAACAAUAUUCUUCUAAAUCAAGAACAUCAAUGAACAGUCAAACAAUGCAACUAAAUUCCCCUAUGCUAAUCUUUCCAUUAAAAAAAUUUAAGCUUUCACAUCCAUUUGAUGUAUUCUGAAAAGCGUUUGGACGAUCUUGGUGAAAAAGUUCAAGACAAGAGUGACUUAUGAUCUUGGGACAACGAGGUGCAGAACUGGAUGAACACAGCAGGCCAAGCAGCAUCAUAGGAGCAGAAAGGCUGACGUUUCGGGCCUAGACCUUUCAUCAGACUUAUGAUCUUGUGGGGCUCCAAAUAUUAAUCUUGUUAUUCUCACAACAGAAAAAG